rnacentral:lncRNA from 1 species
CAGAAAUCAAGAACGUGGCACGCGCUCAGCAAAUAGCUCGCUACUACAAUUCCAAGGUAAAAAACAAACAGUUCCAAGUUGGUGACUUUAUACUCAAAAGUAUUGAGGUUAGCCUCCCAGCUUCGCAACACGAAAGAUGGCCCCAAGCUGGGAGGAACCAUACAAAGUUGUAGAAAAGAUAGGCUAUGGAGUGUACAAAUUGGCAAGACUAGAGGGCACAAUUCUACCGUGCACAUGGAAUGCACGUCAUCUUGACAAUUGUAACACCCCUUACCCGUAUUCGAUGCCG